GAGUUUGAUCCUGGCUCAGAUUGAACGCUGGCGGCAUGCUUUACACAUGCAAGUCGAACGGCAGCACGGGGGUAACCCUGGUGGCGAGUGGCGAACGGGUGAGUAAUAUAUCGGAACGUACCCGGAAAUGGGGGAUAACGUAGCGAAAGUUACGCUAAUACCGCAUAUGCCCUAAGGGGGAAAGCGGGGGAUUCGCAAGAACCUCGCGUUUUCGGAGCGGCCGAUAUCGGAUUAGCUAGUAGGUGAGGUAAAGGCUCACCUAGGCGACGAUCCGUAGCUGGUCUGAGAGGACGACCAGCCACACUGGAACUGAGACACGGUCCAGACUCCUACGGGAGGCAGCAGUGGGGAAUUUUGGACAAUGGGCGCAAGCCUGAUCCAGCCAUGCCGCGUGAGUGAAGAAGGCCUUCGGGUUGUAAAGCUCUUUCAGCCGGAAAGAAAACGCACGGGUUAAUAACCUGUGUGGAUGACGGUACCGGAAGAAGAAGCACCGGCUAACUAC
rnacentral:rRNA from 1 species